GUUGUUGUUGAAAGCUUUAAAAGGUCACCUAAAUAGAGGAAGAAAUGAAUGUAUCCAAACUUUUCUCCUUCCUUCUCCAUCCUAAGUGUGCCAGGAGAAAGCAUCCCAUGAAUCCCUUGUGCCAUGAAUGGAAAGUCCUGGUGGUAAUACUUGAAAGCAUUAAAGUUCAUGAAGAAAUGUGCAACACUGGAAUUCUAUCUUCAGCCAUUCCCAGCAAUACUCUGAGAUUAAAUUUUUAUUGUCGUACUUUUUAAAACAUUUUUUAUGGAAUAUGGUGGUCUGCCCACGCUGCUUAUUGUUUUGGUGGUGAAUGUGCUUAACCCCUACUUACCUCACUGUUUCUCAGAACAAAGCUCUAAUUUUUUUGAUGCCUCAUAAACUACAAGAAGUGUAGAACACAAUUUUAUAUCUUGGAAAUCCUUAAUGUGAUGGCAAACACCGAACUUCAAACAAUUGAAAGAGUCCAUGUCCACAGAAAAUAAUACCACAUUAGAAGAUGUUUGUCGAUUUUAUAAAUUUCAGGGUGUGUUCUUUUAGUAUAAUACCGCAAAUGUAAAAUACCUUGGCCCUGGCAACAGAAUUAGAUGGCAUAGUGUGCGAAAGAAGAAUUAGGUAACUUGAAUUACGAGAGUUUCUGGAUACUCAGCAAUAUUUUCAGCUACUGGGAAUAUCAAGAUGAAUAAAACAUGAUUCCUGACACAUUUACCAUCACCAUGGAACUCAAUCAAAUGGUUGAAAUAAAUACACAAAUAAAUAAAAACAGUGGAAAGUGUUGUGAAUGGAGCAGGCAUCAUGUGAAGGAGUGGCAAGAAGAGAUAGAGUGAAGUUCUUGAAUUUCACAUUCUUCACGGUUGAAAGAAGAGGGCAAGGCUUGAGCACUCCUGGGAUAUCAAACCUGAAAGUAAAGUAGUGAGCCAAAGAGAUGGGAAUUGCAGGAAAGAAAAAGACAAAGUUCAAAAGACCUGAGAGAUGCUACCUUCCUAGUCUAAGUUGCAAUAAUUUCUCAUGGGGAUUGCAGGAAUACCUUGAAGAUAUUGUGGGUUUAGUUCCAGACCACCAUAAAGCAAAUAUUGCAAUAAAGCGAGCCAAACUAAUUUGGUGUCUCAGUGCAUUUAAAAGA